rnacentral:misc_RNA from 1 species
GAUGAAAUUUGAGUUUGCUCAAUUUAUAGUGGUUUCCAGCCACCACGCAAGAAUCAGAUGUGGAAAGUGAGAAAUUGCUUGUGUAAUGGAGAAGAGUCACCUGGUGUAAAUACACUUGUAAGCUCUGAUGGCUUCCACGAGUAUCCAAAUAGCUUCUGCUUCAUCUUCAGUUUGUUCAGCUUCUUCAAGUCCUCAAUGCAAAUAUGAUGUGUUCCUAAGUUUUAGAGGUGAAGACACCCGCAGAAGCUUCACAGAUCAUCUGUAUGCUGCUUUAAACCAGAAAGGAAUAAUUGCCUUUAGGGAUGACCCAAGUCUUGAGAGAGGGAAAGAAAUUGC